UCCCAACGCAAAGUGGAAUCACAAAGACAGAAGUUUUGCAGAGAAGCAGUUUGUCUAUCUACCCUUAGAACAUCAUGAAAAUAAGGAAUCGCAGGAAUUAUCUGUAAAACUCUACGAGGAGUUCGUCGAAGACUACAAAGGCACAGAAAAUGAAUGGAUUGCGGCCGCUUGUUUGAAAUAUGCAAUCGUCCACAAGGAGUUAAUAGACCAGUUUGGACGCUAUCCGCAUAGGAACGCUGCACUGGGCAGGGCGAACACGCCAGAGGAAGAAGAGUUUCUAGCCAACAUACCGGCCAAAUACCGCUUUUAACGUACG